UACCGGCACCUCAAGUGGUCGUCGCUUUUAUUGGGCCUAAAACGUCCGUAGCCGGUUUGGUACAUUCGUGGGUAAAUCAAGGCGCUCAACGUCUUGAAUUCUGCAGAGCUAGGGAGUGGGAGAGGUAGACGGUACUCGGUAGGAAGGGGUAAAAUCCUUUGAUCUAUUGAUGACCACCUGUGGCGAAGGCGGUCUACCAGAACACGUCCGACGGUGAGGGAUGAAAGCUGGGGGAGCAAACCGG
rnacentral:rRNA from 1 species